UGCAAGUCGAGCGAAGCACUCUGCUUUGAUUCUUACGGGAUGAAGAGCAUUGUGACUGAGCGGCGGACGGGUGAGUAACGCGUGGGUAACCUGCCUCAUACAGGGGGAUAACAGUUAGAAAUGGCUGCUAAUACCGCAUAAGACCACAGCACCGCAUGGUGCAGGGGUAAAAACUCCGGUGGUAUGAGAUGGACCCGCGUCUGAUUAGCUAGUUGGUGGGGUAACGGCCUACCAAGGCGACGAUCAGUAGCCGACCUGAGAGGGUGACCGGCCACAUUGGGACUGAGACACGGCCCAAACUCCUACGGGAGGCAGCAGUGGGGAAUAUUGCACAAUGGGGGAAACCCUGAUGCAGCGACGCCGCGUGAGCGAAGAAGUAUUUCGGUAUGUAAAGCUCUAUCAGCAGGGAAGAAAAUGACGGUACCUGACUAAGAAGCCCCGGCUAACUACGUGCCAGCAGCCGCGGUAAUACGUAGGGGGCAAGCGUUAUCCGGAUUUACUGGGUGUAAAGGGAGCGUAGACGGCGAGGCAAGUCUGAUGUGAAAACCCGGGGCUCAACCCCGUGACUGCAUUGGAACUGUUUUGCUUGAGUGCCGGAGAGGUAAGCGGAAUUCCUAGUGUAGCGGUGAAAUGCGUAGAUAUUAGGAGGAACACCAGUGGCGAAGGCGGCUUACUGGACGGCAACUGACGUUGAGGCUCGAAAGCGUGGGGAGCAAACAGGAUUAGAUA
rnacentral:rRNA from 1 species